rnacentral:rRNA from 1 species
AUGGGCCUACGGGAGGCAGCAGUGGGGAAUAUUGCACAAUGGGGGAAACCCUGAUGCAGCAACGCCGCGUGAGGGAAGAAGGUUUUCGGAUUGUAAAGCUCUGUUAGCAGGGAAGAGGAAGGACGGUACCUGCAGAGGAAGCCACGGCUAACUACGUGCCAGCAGCCGCGGUAAUACGUAGGCGGCAAGCGUUGUUCGGAAUAACUGGGCGUAAAGGAUGCGUAGGCGGUUUAACAAGAUA